rnacentral:lncRNA from 1 species
GAGUCCUUGUUAAAAGCUACCUUUCAAGAGCUAUGAAAUGUUUUCAUACAGCUGUCACUCACCCUAUUCUAAUAAUCCAAGUAUCUACAGCAUUGCUCACAACCGGAUGCUGGAGUGAAUAGUCGUGCUGUACUUCGAUCCGCGGGCUCUUACAAAACCUGGUGGAUAUGUUGUUCAGUAGUGUCAUGGGAACCCCCCUACCAUAUCAGGAGCAGAAGGCUGAGGCAGUACGUGGCCUGGCACCAGUCCCACUUCAGAUGGAGGAAAUGAGAUAUGGUUUGUCAUCACAGGAUGCUUCUGAGGGCAGGACGGCUCACAAUAAUGGCUGGAACGGAGUCAAUAGAAUGGCAUCAAACACAUGGAAACCAUGUUUGAUGUAUUUAAUACCGUUGAGCUAAUUCCGCUCCAGCCAUUACCACAUGCCUGUCCUCUCCAAUUAAGGCGACAGCAACCUCCUGUGUUUGUCAUGGAGUCCACUGAUAAAUAACAGGUUGAUACAGAUGAACAGCAUGAAAUUAUACAAGACGCAUCUAUUACUUUUCAUCAGCUUUAGUUAUUAUUGAAUUGAAUGGUACGGGUAAGAACCUGUGUAUUCUUCAAACAUGUCAGGGAACUGUCUUAUAUGGGACAACGUACGAAGUGAUGACGACUAACAUGUACCCCCACAAAAAUGCUGAUGGGUACAGUAUCUGUAUCAGCUGUGAAUGACAAUAGAAGAUGAAAAACAAGUGUUAUAUUUGCACAUUGCUAUAUCAGCAGAACACUGCUUCAACAGUAUUAUGUGAAGGAUGGUUUAUUCUACAUGGAACUGUUACACUUGAAAGUUAUCAAAACACUUUGUUUAGUUAUCAAAAAACGUUGUUUAGAAUAUCUACAUAAGUUCAGCGAUUGCACUCUUCUCAUAUUACUCUGUAGGCUACUGACCGAUUCAAAGCUUGGUCAUCAGCUAAAGAGUGGUAUGAGAAGAGUGAAAUCUUCCUGUAUCUGACAUCUGCCUGUAUGUAUUGAACUCUGACUGCUGGACCCAUGGGUUGAGGGAAACUCUGACAUAUCCAGGAUGGAGUGUCAUACACUCCACCUCUCCUGCCACCUGACUGCACCUGUCCAAAACUGGUAAUACGUUACAUAGAUGGAAGGGACUUCAUCACCCACUGGAGACUUAAAGACAGAACUUCACCCAGAGAGCUGUUCAUGUCAGUAUGUGGUUAGACAGACAGAACCUUACCCAGAGAGCGGUGCAUGUCAGUGUGUGGUUAGACAGCCAAACCCUUAGAAUAGACCAUAGAAAUAGAAUAGAAUGCCAUGCUAGUUCUGGUACAGCUGAAGCUGUACCAAAGAUUGUUAUGCUCCUUGUUCUAUCUGUGGUUGUACUCUACGCACAACUUAUUUUAUUUGCUGGGUAAAGUGUUGGCAUUCUGUCUUUAUAAACAAAUCAAUAUGAUAGCCUAUUUACAGCAGAAAAUGUUUUGUCUUUGUAACACAAACACGCCCACUGAUUUGUAGUUGAUAAAUAUAUCUACACUCAAGCUGGCCAUGUUUGUUCAAUGUUCACAUAUAGCUUACACCUGUAGGGAUAUUAGUUCUGGGAUUUUUCUCCCAGGAAAGAGCUAACAGCGGACAUAAGGAAAGAUGAGACGAGACAAAACUAACCAG